rnacentral:rRNA from 1 species
UACGUAGGUGGCAAGCGUUGUCCGGAUUUAUUGGGUUUAAAGGGUGCGUAGGUGGUCUAUUAAGUCAGUGCUGAAAUAUCCCGGCUUAACCGGGAGGGUGGCAUUGAUACUGAUGGACUUGAGUAAAGUUGAGGUGGGCGGAAUUGACGGUGUAGCGGUGAAAUGCUUAGAUAUCGUCAAGAACACCUAUUGCGAAGGCAGCUCACUAAGCUUUAACUGACACUGAGGCACGAAAGUGUGGGGGAUCAAAACAGG